GGGCAGUGAUGACCAGAAUUUCUCGAUGCUUAAACUUCUGUGCAGAAGAUUUGUGCUGAUAUACAUGGUUUGUGCGUGUCUGAGCCCA
rfam:Physcomitrella patens subsp. patens PHYPAscaffold_252 genomic scaffold, whole genome shotgun sequence.